UGCCUUGGCCUCCCAAAGUGCUGGGAUUACAGGAUGAAAGGCUUCCUAGCACAAACACCACCCCUGGAGUUCCCGGUACAUCAAUACCAGCCUGGGGAUCACGUUCUCAUCAAGAGUUGGAAGAGGGAAAGCUUGAACCAGCUUAGGAGGACCUCAUCUGGUACUCUUGAUGAAUGAAACAGCAAUCUGAAUGGCUGAAAAAGGAUGGACCCAGCACUCCAGAGCCACUGGGUUAGGGUCUCCACGACCCAGCUGGUCUCGGCAAAAAUGCAAAAGGAGACCUGAAUUGCAGAAGAAAUUGUUAAGGAAAAAGGAACCAGAACUUGGAGAUUUGGAAAAUUCUCAGCCUAUCCAUACUGCAAAAAUUAGAAAACUUGUACUGAAGAGAAUCCUCAAAGUGUGGCUGAACAAUCAUUUGAUAAAGAGAUCAUGAGUGGGAUUCAUGGACUAUAUCAGCCAUCUUAACAGAAGUGAGAAGAGAGACUGGAUUAUACUAUAAGAGACACUGCCACUUACAUUGUGCCACCUAAAAUGGACAGAGAAGACAGAACAGAACAGUCAAGGUUGUCACACUUCUUAUUUUACAAGAAGGGGACAUAGAAAUAAUCAGCUGUGAAAGGGCACUGGCAGUUAUGGAUGGUUUCACUCCUGACAUGCUCUGCAGGAUCCAUGGGAACAGAAGAGAACCUUGGAGGAGCAUCUUUUUAACAAUCCACCUCUGGGGCCUACAUCAUCUUGGCUUCUGGUAAAUUUUGACAUGAAUGUGCCACACUGGCAGCCACUAACCAACAGGGGCUGGGAUCAAUCUGCAUGAUUUAUCUCGUACAGAACUUGUUAAUGCUAUGAUCUUAGGAAUCUAAUCACCAAGGUGAGGCAGCCUGCAGUACUGACCUCACCAUCCAUGACCCUUCUUCACAGAUGCCCAGACUCAGGUAACCAUGAUGUUGUAUUCAGAACCUGUAGGUUUAAUUUCAGACCCUCGGGAUGCAUCUAAGGCCAAUCUGUGAGCCAUUACAACCUCCAAAAGGCAUUUAGGACUAAUCUGAUGAUCUUUGCACUGCCAAUAAUUAAAGAUGGCAACCAAUGGGCUAAAUGGUAACAACACUCAUAUCCUUACAUUCAUAGUAUUUCUCCCCAGUGUGAAUUCUUUCAUGCAUACUUAGGCAUGAGGAAAGAGCAAAUGCUUUCCCAAAUUCUUUACAUACAAAAGGUUUCUCUCUGGUAGGAGUUCACAGGUGGGGUGAGGAAUACAGAAAUUCUUUCCCACAUAUCUUGCAUUUACCUUUCUCCACUGUGAGUUUUCAAAUGUUUACUACGAUGGGAAGAAGUAAUGAAGGUCUUCCCACAUUCAACACAUUCAUAAGGCUUCUCUCCUGUGUGAAUUCUUCUAUGUUGAGUAAGCGUUGAAGAUCUAUUGAAGGCUUUCCCACAUUCCUUACACUGAUAGGGUUUCUCUCCAGUGUGAUUUCGUAUGUGUAUAGCAAGGCCCGUGUACUGAGUGAAGGCUUGGCCACAUUCCUUACAUUCAUAGGGUUUUAUUCCAGUGUGAGUUCUUACAUGUUGAGUAAGGUGAGUUGAUCUAGUGAAGGCUUUCCCACAUUCCGUACAUUUGUGUGGUUUUAUUCCAGUGUGAAUUUGAAUGUGAACAUUAAAGGAUGAGGAAUUUCUAAAGGAUCUUCCACAUUCUUUACAUUCAAAGGACUUCUCUCCUUUAUGAGUUUUUGCAUGUGCAGAAAGUUGAGAAAAAUUAGUGAAGGAUUUCCCACAGUUCUUAGUCUUUUCGGAUUUCUUUCCAGUAUGAACUGCUACACACUGCUUUAAGUGUGAGGAAGUUGUGAUGGCUCUCUCACAUUCCUGAAAUUCACAGAGUUUCUCUCCAAUGUGGAUUCCCAUGUGAUUAUCAAGGCUUGCAAAAUACUUAAAGCCUUUUCCACAUUCCUUACAUUUGUAGGGUUGUCUUCCAUUGAGAAUUUCAAGAUGCACAGCAAGGCCUGGAGUUAAGGUGAAGACUUUUCCACAUGGAUUAAAUUUGGAAAGUUCUUGUCCAA
ensembl:lncRNA ZNF561-AS1 ZNF561 antisense RNA 1 (head to head)